GAACGCUGGCGGUGCGCCUUAUGCAUGCAAGUUGAGCGAAGCUUUUUGGUAGUUUACUACUAGAAAUGACUGAGCGGCGAACGGGUGAGUAACGCGUGAGCAAUCUACCUUAGUUACUGGGAUAGCCCGAGGAAACUCGGAUUAAUACCGGAUAUUCUUAUUUUUUCACAUGAAGUUUUAAGGAAAGGUCAGCCGAACUAAGAUGAGCUCGCGUUCUAUCAGCUAGUUGGUGGGGUAAAAGCCUACCAAGGCUACGACGGAUAGCUGGUCUGAGAGGACGAUCAGCCACACUGGGACUGAGACACGGCCCAGACUCCUACGGGAGGCUGCAGCAGGGAAUAUUGUGCAAUGAGCGAAAGCUUGACACAGCGACACCGCGUGUGGGAUGACGGUUCUAGGAUUGUAAACCACUUUCAGGAGGGAAGAAAAUGACGGUACCUCCACAAGAAGACCCGGCCAA
rnacentral:rRNA from 1 species